CUUGAUCGAGCCGAGCCACAGCGGCCGGCCCUCCGGACGCUCCUGGCCGUAGGUCUCCAGCAGGGCGUGCGCCUC
rnacentral:antisense_RNA from 1 species